rnacentral:rRNA from 1 species
AGUGGCGGACGGGUGAGUAACGCGUGAGAAACAGCCUUGGGGUCGGGGACAACCACUGGAAACGGUGGCUAAUACCGGAUAAGCCGAUUGGUGAAAGAUUUAUUGCCCGAAGAGGAGCUCGCGUCUGAUUAGCUAGUUGGUGAGGUAAGAGCUCACCAAGGCAGCGAUCAGUAGCUGGUCUGAGAGGACGAUCAGCCACACUGGGACUGAGACACGGCCCAGACUCCUACGGGAGGCAGCAGUGGGGAAUUUUCCGCAAUGGGCGAAAGCCUGACGGAGCAAGACCGCGUGAGGGAGGAAGGCUCUUGGGUUGUAAACCUCUUUUCUCAGGGAAGAAGCUCUGACGGUACCUGAGGAAUCAGCCUCGGCUAACUCCGUGCCAGCAGCCGCGGUAAUACGGAGGAGGCAAGCGUUAUCCGGAAUUAUUGGGCGUAAAGCGUCCGCAGGUGGCGAUUCAAGUCUGCUGUCAAAGCACGGGGCUUAACUCCGUAAAGGCAGUGGAAACUGAAUAGCUAGAGUGCCGUAGGGGUAGAGGGAAUUCCCGGUGUAGCGGUGAAAUGCGUAGAGAUCGGGAAGAGCAUCGGUGGCGAAAGCGCUCUACUGGACGGCAACUGACACUCAGGGACGAAAGCUAGGGGAGCGAAUGGGAUUAGAUACCCC